AUAUUCAUCGUGUUGCCAUUCCAACGUAAUUGAUAAGACGAACUUGUAGCUUUGCAUCGAACACGUAGUCCGUGCUUCACCCGUUGCGGCCGAACCGUAGAUUGCUCGCGUGUUUUAUACUUUGUUAGUUACUAUUGUUCAGUGUUCAUUGUUUUAAUGUAUUUCUUGAUAAAGUUAUAAACAUUCGUGUACAUCUAUCCGAUCCUCUGACGCUUCAACCAGCGGCCAACAGCGAGACCUUCGUUAUUAAAUAAUCGUACGGGCCUAGCCACUCCAGGUCCAGGCUCGCUACAAGUGUUGAAUCCAGUAAAUCAACUCUUAAGUCUAUUAAGGUACCGUCUUAUCAGGAGCUAUGUGGGCAGUUAGUAAUUUUUUAUUAGUGUCAGAAAGAUCAACAGAAAAACAUAAACAAGAAUUUAAAGGAAUUACUUCAAAACUUAGAGCACAGCAUGGGUUGGUUGAAGACGUGUGAUUCAACUGCCAGUUGAUAAUAUUAAUUUUUUGGAUGGCAAUGCCACAGAUGAAACAUUUGAGUAUUCCCAUUAUGUUGAACAUAAAAAAAUCUGCCUUUUUUAUGAUUUCAGACAAAUAUUUGAAAGUGUUGAACUUUGUUUGAUCAGAAUAACCUCGAGGUGAACAGUAUGUACAGCAAAAAAUAUUUGUUGCAUAUCCUUUUGGAGAAUGUACCUUGCAUACCAUUAUGGGAAAAAGUUAUUUUAUACUUAGUAAAUUUGAUCGUCAGAGUAAAGCUCCAAUUUAAAGCUGUUUUAAUUUGGUAAGAAAAAAAUGAAGUGUAGGGAUUUGUUGAAAUGAUAAACUAUGUAUAAAGGUAAUUGUUUUAGGCAAUUGAAAAUAAAAAUACCAAGGUGGAAGUGUGCAAUUGGUAACAAAUAUGGUGAUGAAGAUAAUUUGCUUUCGAACACUCCAGAAAUUUGGAGAAAGAACGGUAAAUGUCCUGCGUUCUUGAGAAACAACAAUAGGGUCUUGUAUGCUAACAAUAGUAAACCUGUUCAAAAUAAUAGACAAUAAGAAAAUGAUAAUAUUGCUAUUGAAGAGGAAACAAAAGAGAUGACAGACCCACAAACAACUAUUAGUUGUCGUGAAAAAACAAUCCUAGAUUCAGAGCAACAAAUAUUAGAUACCAAUGAUGAUCAUGCUAAAUAUGAGAAAUCUUGACCAGGUAACAAUAAAGAAAAAGCAUGUUGAAAAAAUUCAAAACUAAACUGAAGGUGUUGAUGAAACUAUGUCUUCAGUGGUAGUUGAAUGUUGUCCAGAAAAUGAGGAUUUAAGUAAUAAUUUAUAUCAACAUUCAUGGUCGUGUGGUGGUUUGGGAACAGUAAAAUAUAAAGUCACCUACAGGAAAAUAUAAUUUAUAUCGCACUAGUAAACUAGUGAAAGAUGCAAAUUAUUACAUGCGAUCUUAUCUCGGAGUUGAUGACUAUGUAGUAUCAAAAAUUUCUUUUGAUAAUGAUGAGGUGUAGAUAACUUAUUUGGACUUUAAACAGUUAAAUACUGAAGGUGAUAGCUGUUCUCUUUGAUUGUUAUGGGCUACCAUAUAUUUAUUGAAACCGUGUGCAAUUAUGUAACUAGUUCUAAUCACAGAACCACAACUAGAACUACAACCAACUUAAUGCACUUAGUAUCAGAAUUUUGUUAACACUUUGAUUUAUAAAAUAAAUAUAUUAAAAGUAUUAAAAGUUAAAGUCUCACGUCUAAUUAAUAACACAUAUUUGACUGCUCAAGUUGAAAUCAAGCUGGUGGCAUGGAACAUUUGUUAUAAAAUACUAAAAUAUGGUGUAUAUUACAAAUAUAUUUUUAGAAAAAAAUGAAUAUAUUUGGAUAACUAAAAAAAAAACAACAAAUAAAGUGUCUGAUUACAGAUAUUAUUUGUUAAAUGUUGGAAAAAAUUUUGAGAACUCUACCAACGGAAGACUUGAAUGGUUUAAUUUGUCUAGACUUAUAGUACAGUCACUGGAAAAUAGUAUUUGGACUUGAUUGUAUGUCAAUUUUAUUGAAAAGACUGUCAGUUAUUUAAACUCUACUGAAUGUGUGUUCUGGAUAUGUUGAAGAGUAUAUCCAAGAAGUGGAAUCCAAUGCAAGUAAUUAGCAAUGUCGAUAAAUGGAUGGAUCUAUAUGUCAAUAUACCAUAUCAAAAUUAUGGAUAUAUCUGUGGUGUAUUCAUAUUAUAAUUUUCAAAUUAAUUAAUGAGCUGUAAAAGUAAUUGAUGAUUCCAAUUCCAAUGUUUACCGCAAAGACUUGGAGAACAUGAUAUUCACAAGGUUUAUGUGAAUUAAAAACAAUUAUUUGAUUUGUGAAAAAGAUGAAGGAAAUUUGAAAGGAAAUUAUCAAGGUGUUGCUGAAGAAUAUAGCUCAACGGUUCAAUAUGAUUCUUGUACAAGGUGGCUGCAUAUAUCAUGUUUGCCCGAUGCAAACAAGAAAAAAGUAGAAAAUGAUAAUUGGUUAGCUAUGGACUAUGAUUAAUUUAAUAUUCAAAAAAUCCAUUGUUAUGAAAUAUGAUAUCCAAGGAAAAUUCUCCACUUGAUUAAUAAGGAACAAUACCUAUGUGUUUACACUAGAGAACUGCUAUACAAUAAUUCGAAUUAUUAUAUUAAAUAUCAACUCUGAUAUCAUAUACGUGUAUCAAGGAUUUUAUUUAAUGUUGGGUGCAAAUUUUGAAGAAAAUAUAAUUAC